CUUUCGUCAACAAUUUGGCUCUCAAAAACUUAUGUAAUGAAUAGAAAAAGAUGAAUAAGAGAGUAUGCAAGCUUUAGCAAUAAUAUUGUCAGUUGUUGUGUUUAGAAGACUGAUUUGUAGAUGUAUUUAUAGUGUCAAAACCAUGCAUAACCGUUGCCUAAUUGCCAAUUAAGAAUUGCUGAUUUUGUGCUGCGACUAUCGAUUGUCAAGAUGAUACAAUCGAUUGUUUUCCAAUCGUUCCAA
rnacentral:lncRNA from 1 species